UACCAGCACCCCGAGUGGUCGGGACGUUUAUUGGGCCUAAAGCAUCCGUAGCCGGUUCUGCAAGUCUUCUGUUAAAUCCACCUGCUUAACAGAUGGGCCGCGGAAGAUACUAUAGAGCUAGGAGGCGGGAGAGGCAAGCGGUACUCGAUGGGUAGGGGUAAAAUCCGUUGAUCCAUUGAAGACCACCAGUGGCGAAGGCGGCUUGCCAGAACGCGCUCGACGGUGAGGGAUGAAAGCUGGGGGAGCAAACCGG
rnacentral:rRNA from 1 species